GAUGAAGAACGCAGCGAAAUGCGAUAAGUAAUGUGAAUUGCAGAAUUCAGUGAAUCAUCGAAUCUUUGAACGCACAUUGCGCCCCCUGGUAUUCCGGGGGGCAUGCCUGUUCGAGCGUCAUUUCACCACUCAAGCCUCGCUUGGUAUUGGGCAACGCGGUCCGCCGCGUGCCUCAAAUCGACCGGCUGGGUCUUCUGUCCCCUAAGCGUUGUGGAAACUAUUCGCUAAAGGGUGUUCGGGAGGCUACGCCGUAAAACAACCCCAUUUCUAAGGUUGACCUCGGAUCAGGUAGGGAUACCCGCUGAACUUAAGCAUAUCAAUAAGCCGAGGA
rnacentral:misc_RNA from 1 species